CUUCAGCGGUCACAGUCUUCAAGUUUUAGCUCCUGCACGUAAUGGGGUUUCCACGGACGGAAAUUCAAUUCUUUAUGCAACACCGGGCUAAGAAUAUAA